GGCAAGAUGGCCGAGCGGUCUAAGGCGCUAGGGUCAGGUCCUAGUCUCGAAAGGGGCGUGGGUUCGAAUCCCACUCUUGUCA